UGUCUCCUCCACCUCCUCCUGGUGGAUUUUAUGGCCAGCAGAUUGCUGGCCAUUUUUUUU
rnacentral:ncRNA from 1 species